UAGGUGUAUAGGCAUCGUAGUCUACUUUUACGCACGCCGGAUGUGGCAGUUUUUUUUCUCAAUUUCAUUUUCGUUUUAUUUCAUACCUCGAGUUGUCGAGCGUGGAGCUACAUGGACAUCACACGUUGUUUAUUUUAUCUUUAAUAAGAUGGCUGCAUGCAUCGAUUGAUGCAGAGGCCGGGGGCUCGUUUCCUCCUUAUCAAAAAAAAAAAU
rnacentral:lncRNA from 1 species